rnacentral:rRNA from 1 species
UGGGGAAUAUUGCGCAAUGGGCGAAAGCCUGACGCAGCGACGCCGCGUGUGGGAUGACGGCCUUCGGGUUGUAAACCACUGUCGGGAGGGACGAAUGCGCCGCAAGGCGAGUGACGGUACCUCCAAAGGAAGCACCGGCUAACUCCGUGCCAGCAGCCGCGGUAAUACGGAGGGUGCGAGCGUUGUCCGGAAUCACUGGGCGUAAAGGGCGCGUAGGCGGCCUGAUAAGUAGGGGGUGAAAUCCUGCGGCUUAACCGCAGGGCUGCCUUCUAAACUGUCAGGCUCGAGCACAGUAGAGGCAGGUGGAAUUCCCGGUGUAGCGGUGGAAUGCGUAGAGAUCGGGAAGAACAUCAGUGGCGAAGGCGGCCUGCUGGGCUGUUGCUGACGCUGAGGCGUGACAGCGUGGGGAGCAAACAGGAUUAGAUACCCUGGUAGUCCACGCCGUAAACGAUGGACACUAGGCGUCGGGGGGAGCGACCUCCCGGUGCCGUCGCUAACG